AUGGCGCGCGCAAACUGUGCAGUGCUGCUAUGGCUCCUGGUGGCAGUGAGCGUGAAGCUGGGGCGGCGCCACAUCACCCACAACACGGUGGAGCUGAUGGAGAGGCGUCUGGCCAAGGACGACUUCCCCGAGUACUACAACGGCAAGACGGGGCGGUACAUCGGGAAGCAGUCGCGCAAGUUCCAGACGUGGUUGGUGGCGGGCUACCUGGUGGCCAAGAUGCUCCUGGACGACCCCUCCAACCUCCGCGCCGUCUCCCUGGAGGACGAUGGCCACACCCGAGCAGCAUCUAAAGUU
rnacentral:rRNA from 1 species